GCAGUCACAGUUAUUUUGCCGAUCAGCGGCAGCUCCGAUCCGGACCAGUAGUUUGACAGUCAGUUUUGAAGGCUCCUGGCGGAGGCGGGCCAGAUAAGCAAUCCGGACGCGCCAUAAUAAAAUAAUUCAGUCCGAUUUGAAGGCGCGUGGCGGGUGCGGGCCACACAAAGCAAUCCGGACGCGCCAAAACUGAAUUUGUUCCCCAACUGUCACUUUGGAACCCUCAGAGAGAGAGACCGUUCUUCAGUUUACCUCAGCUGAACUCAACUAUCCGCCUGUGUCGCGUCUCGUCCAACACUGCACUGUCGUGACUUGAUCAUUCAAUGAUGAAUUGUACGGUAGGUUCAGCCAUUCCUUGAUCGACCUGACACCAGCAUUAGGCCUACUCGAUGUGUAUGAAGCAAGCUGCCUCUGCAUCAAGUGAGGGAAGAAGCCGCCACUGAAAAGCUUUUUGGACUGUCAUUUGAAGGACACAAAUGAAAGGACAGGAAUUCUGCUCUGCGGCGUUGGUCUCACUAUUUAUUCAAGAAGCCCUUGGACACCACCAGAAUGUAUGAAAAUUGUAAACAGUAGGCACAGUCAUUCCUUGAUCGACCUGGCAUCAACAUCGCUCGAUGUGUAUGAAGCUGCAAGUGAGAGAAGAAGCCGCCACUGAACACCUUUUUGGACUGUCAUGACACAAAUGAAAGGACAGGACUUCUACUCUGCUGGGUCGGCCUCACUACAUAUUCAAGAAGCCCUCGGACGUCAUCAGAAUGUAUUAAUGUGAAGAGGCAACAAGGGAGAGAUGAACGCUAUCAAACAUGUGGAGAUGGAUCUGGCAGCCGACCGCUUUGGCACACACCCAACAAGAAACAAAACAAUAAAGAAUACUAAAAUGCAUAAUUUGUAAGCAGCUCAUUUUUUAAAAACAUUGUUUGCUCUUGCUUGAAGGUGCACUGUGUAAAAUUGUGGCCAGAGUAGUUAUUGCAUCUAUGGUGCUCAUUGAAACUGUGCUGUCUACUGCUAAUUUAGAUUUUUGCAUGAAUACCAAAGUGUAGUGAGUUUUGCAGCUAAAAUGUCUAUUUCUGGAAAUUCAAAAUGGCGGACCAUGGAGAAGAUCCCCCUUUUCAUGUAUGAAAAGUGCAAAUUUCCCAGUCAUGUUGAAUACUUUGGUGGUGGUAAAUAUCUGUUAAAAAGUUAACAUUUGUGAAUGGGCAUAAUGAAUUCUGGAAAUGAACAACUAAAAAUAUUCCACGUCCACCUUUAAAGGGGUAUGCCACUAUUUUGGGGCUUAAUACAGUUAAAAU